rnacentral:lncRNA from 1 species
UUAAGGGUCAGAAUUUUGAACUGAUCCCAUUUGGAGCUGGUCGAAGGAUUUGCCCUGGCACAACUUUUGGCAUUCAGAUGUUAAACUUGGUCCUCGCUAAUUUGUUGCACGCAUUUGAACUUUCAACUCCCUUUGAUGACAAAGUUGAUAUGAGUGUGAGUGCUGGACUGACAAAUAUGAAAGCAACCCCUCUUGAUGUGAUCCUUCGCCCGCGAUUAUCUCCAAGUCUGUAUUAAGUAGAAAGACAUAAN